GUAAAUGAAGUUAAAUGGUUUUAACAUUGGAUUGUGAUUCCAACUUUAGCAAGUUCGAUUCUUGUCAUUUACC